AUUUGGUCUGAACUCCCUUUUCUCUUCCCGCCCUGCACUUUUUUCUUUCAUCCUAACACAACUGGGCCCCUGAGGGGACCCGCCGCACAAAAGCACCAGGCAGUUACUUUUUUCUUUUUAUUGCCCCUCACCGAGCAGAGGGUGUCGGAGCUGGGUUGCCUGGCUCAGCCAGCAAGUCUGUUGUUAUUUUGUGUGCAGUGGGGUGGUUAGCCCCUCCAGAAAAAUGCGCAAUUGGGAAUGUAUGAAGUCAAAGAAAAAGCCAGCACAGGAAAAGACUGUCCUUGGUCCUAGGGGUUUUGGCCAGGGUGGGGCCAGACCACAGUACCAGAGGGACAAGACCAUCCAGCAUCAAUCACACGUCCAGGGAGGAGGCAGGGGACAGAGAGGGCGUUCUAGAUGGUGUGGCAGGAGCGGGCCCAGAGCUCCCUGCCCCCAGCACUCGCCACUGAAAGAUGCUAGCAUCCUUGCCACCUAAGGAGACAAGACCCCAGCGCAUCUCUCACCUCUGCCUCCUGGAGGGCCACCAACCCGGGCCCCCACUGCACCAGUCGUCGGUCCCGCCCACCACCACUCAGCACUGUCCCAUCCCGGCGGAGACACAGGGCAAAGAUGGACCCCUCGUGAGCAUGGGCCUGGGCCACGAUCGUGUAGGUCUCUGUUGGUAAAGGCUAGAAUUUCUGAGAUACAAACAUCCUAAAUGCUAGCCCUAACCACAUACCUUUGGCCCCACCCCUGCCUGGGGUCUUGGAAUCUGAGACACUUCGACCCCAGGUAAGAAUGUUCCCCUCGGAAUCUCCAGUGAGGAUGUCUCCAUCAGGAAGGAAGACAAAGCAAGGGAUGAACUUGGGUUUCUUGUAUUUCUGGAGAGGGCAGAGGACAGGUGUCACAGGACAGAUGUGGAUGCUGGGGCACAUUAGAAUCAACACAUGUCACAGGAUAGCUGGGGUGCUGGGGUGCAUUAGAGUCUACAGCACUUAGCCCCACUUCCCUCUCCACUGCCUCACCCAUCCACACCUCACCCCAAAAACACCCUGCUUCCGGGCGAGGAGCCCAUUCCCGGGAGCCCCUGUCCCACCGCUCCAGUUCCAAAAGUGGACAUGCGAUUUCCCACUGGUGACAAUACAGCUGCUGUCACGAGGGCUGAAGCCAACAGCGAGGACUGAGUCAUUUGUACUCUGAAAAAAAGAAGACACUUGAUUCAGCCAAUCUAAGUCCUAAGCCUGCCUUCCUCCCUCCCUCUCUCUCUCUCUCUCUCUCUCUCUCUCUCUCUCUCUCUCUCUCUCUUUUCUUUUGAGACAUGGUUUCUCUGUGUAGUCCUGGCUGUCCUGGAACUCACUUUGUACACCAGGGUGGUCUCAAACUCAGAAAUCCGCCUGCCUCUGCCUCAAGUG
rnacentral:lncRNA from 1 species